rnacentral:rRNA from 1 species
UACGUAGGGUGCAAGCGUUGUCCGGAAUUAUUGGGCGGAAAGAGCUUGUAGGCGGUUUGUCGCGUCUGCUGUGAAAUUUCGGGGCUCAACCCCGAACUUGCAGUGGGUACGGGCAGACUAGAGUGUGGUAGGGGAGACUGGAAUUCCUGGUGUAGCGGUGAAAUGCGCAGAUAUUAGGAGGAACACCGAUGGCGAAGGCAGGUCUCUGGGCCAUAACUGACGCUGAGAAGCGAAAGCAUGGGGAGCGAACAGG